rnacentral:antisense_RNA from 1 species
GUGCAGAAUCACCCACUGAGUCCCAGACACAAACUGCAUGAGGGUCUACACAGGUAAGAAGGUCGGUCUCCGAGGCCUGGGGCUCCAGGCCCCCUCAGCUCUGGGACCCUGAGCCCAGCCCCUGUAUCCCUCUGCCCUCCCAAUGGACUCCAGGCCCCUGCUGGGCACACUCACACUGCACAGAGAGGUCCAGGGCUCGCUGCUGGGAGCCAAGCCUGUUCUCCGCUCGGCAGGUGUAGCGCCCUGAAUCCCCGGCCUUCACCCCGGGCAGCUCCAGCCCCAGGGGUCUGGGGCCCCAGGGAUGGGACAAGGAGAGGACUCUGUCCUGCAGGACCCAGCUCAGCGUGGCAGGGGGCUGGCUGUCAGCAGCACAGAGGAGCCGCAGGAACUGGCCUUUUUGGGCUUCCAGGGAAAAGAAAGUGGGACUAUCCCGGGAAGACAAGUGACAACCAGCGCCAGGGCUCACGUGUGUGGACCAGACGCCAUUCCCAUCCCUCUCCCAGGGCUGAGCCGGCAUCCUGGGACCCCACAGCUUCCUCUCCCUGGAUGCUCCUGAGCUGGGAGCCGCUCACUGUCCCACUGGGCUCCUCCACCUCCUCACCCACCGGGCCUGUCUGCAUGCCCCAC